GCCAGGAUGGUCUAAUCGGUUAAGGCGUCCGCCCCGGUCAGGCGAAGGUUGCGGGUUCAAUCCCGCUCCUGGCC
rnacentral:tRNA from 1 species